rnacentral:lncRNA from 1 species
UAAUUUCAUAUCUCACUCAGCUUCUAACUCAAUUCCCACCAUUUUUGAUGAUUUUUCAAAGUUACAUCAAUGCUGCUGUCCAAAAACUAUUUCAUUGCAAUUUUUUUUAAAAAAAUUGAAUAUAACCCCUUUAUAAUUAUCUAUCCUUCCCUGCAAAUUUCAAAUCACAACCAAUUCCAGUAUUUCAACUACUUCAUUUUAAUACUAAUGAAGUUCAGCCAAUCAACCAUUUCAAACUAAAAACAUGUAUAUUUCAAUGUCUAACACAACCAUUACAUUCAAAUUUACUUUGCAUACCUAGUCAUUCAUUCUAUUACUUUUUACUUCAAUUCCCUAUACAUGCCAUAUGAAUCCAAAAAGUUGUUUAACAAAAUCUACCGGAGUAAAUCUGGAUAGUGUGAUUCUUGGUGUAGAUCCGAUCCUCCGAAUGUAUAAAUACGUCAAUCUACAAGAAACAAUAAACACACACAAGUAAGCUUAUAGAAAGCUUAGUAAGUUCAUAGGCACAAAAACAUAAAUCUUACCAAACAUUUAUACACUUAUACAUUAUACACCAUUACUAAGUUUACCUGUCAAUCACAAACUUUGGUGAGUUCCUUGGUAUAAACUCAUUACUACUUAUUCUUUUACCAUAAUUCCUUUGGGCCCAUUUGUCACUUACCAUCCUUGAUCAAAAUUAAGGAACGGUUACGGAAAAUUGAGUACUUCACUUUCACUUUGCCAUAGUAUAACUAUGGUCUUACGUAUGAUCACUUAUCACUUCUCCUUGAUCAGAUAAGUGUAGCUAGGCUACCACUUAUCACUUUGUCACUUGCUCAGAUAAGUGUAGCUAAAGCUACCACUUAUCACUUUGUCACCACUUAUCACUUGUUCCUGAUCAGAUAAGUGUAGCUAAAACUACCACUUAUCACUUUGUCACUUGAUCAGAUAAGUGUAGCUAAGCUAUCACUUAUCACUUUGUCACUUGAUCAGAAGUACUCAAAUCCGGUGUUCCGCUCAAUUUGAUCAUUUAUUCAAUUUUUGUAUUUUAUUUUAUUUUAUUUUAUUCUCAUUUCAUCAAUAAAUAUAUAUUUCAUCAUACAUUAUAUAAUUCAUGAAACUAACAUUUAAUCAUUAAAUUUCAGCCAUAUGAACUUACCUGGGUCGAUUUGCUGAAUUUGUAAAAGUUCAGGGACUAAUCAGCUACUUUUUCUUUUCCUCAACUUGUUUCGGGUUUUUGAUCUAAAAUGCAAAUUUAUUCAUUCAUCAGCAUCCAAUUCUAUUCUAAUUCAUUUCACAAUUUUUUCCCUUAAAUUUUUGAAAUUACACUUUUACCCCAAACUUUAUAGUUUUUACAAUUUGGUCCCUACUCAAUCAACCCCUCAAUUGAUCUAAUUUUUCUCAAUUAACACAUUUUCCAACUAUUUUAGACUACUACAUAGCCUUUCAUAUUCAAAACCGCAACACCAAACCCUAAUCCCCACUUUUUCACAAUUAGGUCCCUAAAAUCAAUUUCUAUCAAAAUUACUUAAUAAAAUCAUCAUAUAAUAAAAUUAAAGCUUUAAUUCCAUGUUUAUUCAUCAUAAAAAUCCAGCACUCAUCAAUGGUAACUUUCAAAAUCAGCCAUGAAAUCAAAAACUGAUGAAAUAAUUAGUUGGACCUAAUUGUAAAAGUAUUAAAAUCACAAAAAUUAGAAGAAGUAAUCAAGAAUUAAACUUACAUGAGUCAAAUAUAUGAAAACCCAGCUUGUUUCAGACCUCCUAUGGCGUUUUUGCUGAUAAAUUGUGAAGAGAUC